rnacentral:rRNA from 1 species
UAAGGGCGCACGGUGGAUGCCUUGGCACUAGGAGCCGAAGAAGGACGUGACAAACGACGAUAUGCCUUGGGUAGCUGUAAGUAAGCGAUGAUCCAGGGAUUUCCGAAUGGGGGAACCCAACAGGUACUACCUGUUACCCAUAUCUGUUAAGGAUAUGAGGAGGAAGACGCAGUGAACUGAAACAUCUAAGUAGCUGCAGGAAGAGAAAGCAAAAGCGAUUGCCUUAGUAGCGGCGAGCGAAACGGCAGGAGGGCAAACCGAAGAGUUUACUCUUCGGGGUUGUAGGACUGCAAUGUGGACUCAAAGAUUAUAGAAGAAUGAUUUGGGAAGAUCAGCCAAAGAGAGUAAGAGCCUCGUAUUUAAAAUAGUCUUUGUACCUAGCAGUAUCCUGAGUACGGCGGGACACGAGAAAUCCCGUCGGAAUCUGGGAGGACCAUCUCCCAACCCUAAAUACUCCCUAGUGACCGAUAGUGAACCAGUACCGUGAGGGAAAGGUGAAAAGCACCCCGGGAGGGGAGUGAAAUAGAACCUGAAACCGUGUGCCUACAACAAGUUCGAGCCCGUUAAUGGGUGAGAGCGUGCCUUUUGUAGAAUGAACCGGCGAGUUACGUUAUGAUGCGAGGUUAAGUUGAAGAGACGGAGCCGUAGGGAAACCGAGUCUGAAUAGGGCGCAAUAGUAUCAUGACGUAGACCCGAAACCAUGUGACCUACCCAUGAGCAGGUUGAAGGUGCGGUAAGACGCACUGGAGGACCGAACCAGGGCACGUUGAAAAGUGCUUGGAUGACUUGUGGGUAGCGGAGAAAUUCCAAACGAACUUGGAGAUAGCUGGUUCUCUCCGAAAUAGCUUUAGGGCUAGCGUCGACAUAAAGAUUCUUGGAGGUAGAGCACUGUUUGGGUGAGGGGUCCAUCCCGGAUUACCAAUCUCAGAUAAACUCCGAAUGCCAAAGAAUUAUGGUCGGCAGUCAGACUGCGAGUGCUAAGAUCCGUAGUCGAAAGGGAAACAGCCCAGACCACCAGCUAAGGUCCCAAAAUAAUUGUUAAGUGGAAAAGGAUGUGGGGUUGCACAGACAACUAGGAUGUUAGCUUAGAAGCAGCUAUUCAUUCAAAGAGUGCGUAAUAGCUCACUAGUCGAGUGACCCUGCGCCGAAAAUGUACCGGGGCUAAAACAAUUUACCGAAGCUGUGGAUACCUUUAUAGGUAUGGUAGGAGAGCGUUCUAUGUGUGGCGAAGGUGUACCGUGAGGAGCACUGGAACGCAUAGAAGUGAGAAUGCCGGUAUGAGUAGCGCAAGAUGGGUGAGAAUCCCAUCCACCGUAAGACUAAGGUUUCCAGGGGAAGGCUCGUCCGCCCUGGGUUAGUCGGGACCUAAGGAGAGACCGAAAGGUGUAUCCGAUGGCCAACAGGUUGAUAUUCCUGUACUAGAGUAUGAAGUGAUGGAGGGACGCAGUAGGCUAACUAAAGCAGACGAUUGGAAGAGUCUGUCUAAGCAGUGAGGUGUGAAUUGAGUCAAAUGCUUAAUUCUAUAACAUUGAGCUGUGAUGGGGAGCGAAGUUUAGUAGCGAAGUUAGUGAUGUCACACUGCCAAGAAAAGCUUCUAGCGAUGUAUCAUACUCUACCCGUACCGCAAACCGACACAGGUAGUCGAGGCGAGUAGCCUCAGGUGAGCGAGAGAACUCUCGUUAAGGAACUCGGCAAAAUGACCCCGUAACUUCGGGAGAAGGGGUGCUGACUUUACGUCAGCCGCAGUGAAUAGGCCCAAGCAACUGUUUAUCAAAAACACAGCUCUCUGCUAAAUCGUAAGAUGAUGUAUAGGGGGUGACGCCUGCCCGGUGCUGGAAGGUUAAGAGGAGUGCUUAGAGGUAACUCGAAGGUAUGAAUUGAAGCCCCAGUAAACGGCGGCCGUAACUAUAACGGUCCUAAGGUAGCGAAAUUCCUUGUCGGGUAAGUUCCGACCCGCACGAAAGGCGUAAUGAUUUGGGCACUGUCUCAACGAGAGACUCGGUGAAAUUUUAGUACCUGUGAAGAUGCAGGUUACCCGCGACAGGACGGAAAGACCCCAUGGAGCUUUACUGCAGUUUGAUAUUGAGUGUCUGUGCCACAUGUACAGGAUAGGUAGGAGCCAAAGAGAUCGGGACGCCAGUUUCGAUGGAGGCGAUGUUGGGAUACUACCCUUGUGUUAUGGCCACUCUAACCCGGUAGGUUGAUCAUCUACGGAGACAGUGUCUGACGGGCAGUUUGACUGGGGCGGUCGCCUCCUAAAGAGUAACGGAGGCGCCCAAAGGUUCCCUCAG